GGAUUCCCCUAGUAACUGCGAGUGAAGCGGGAAAAGCUCAAAUUUAAAAUCUAACAGUCUUUGGCUGUUCGAGUUGUAAUCUAGAGAAGCAUUAUCCGCGCUGGACCGUGUACAAGUCUCCUGGAAUGGAGCGUCAUAGAGGGUGAGAAUCCCGUCUUUGACACGGACUGCCAGGGCUUUUGUGAUAUGCUCUCAAAGAGUCGAGUUGUUUGGGAAUGCAGCUCAAAAUGGGUGGUAAAUUCCAUCUAAAGCUAAAUAUUGGCGAGAGACCGAUAGCGAACAAGUACCGUGAGGGAAAGAUGAAAAGAACUUUGGAAAGAGAGUUAAACAGUACGUGAAAUUGCUGAAAGGGAAACGCUUGAAGUCAGUCAUAUUGACCAGGGAUCAGCCUUGCUUUUGCUUGGUGUACUUUCUGGUUAAUAAGUCAACAUCAAUUUUGACCAUUGGAAAAAGAUUGAGGGAAUGUAGCAUCUUUGGAUGUGUUAUAGCCCUUGGUUGUAUACAAUGGUUGGGAUUGAGGAACUCAGCACGCCGCAAGGCUGGGUUUUUUUAAACCACAUACGUGCUUAGGAUGUUGGCAUAAUGGCUUUAAUCG
rnacentral:rRNA from 1 species